UCCAUCUCCCCGGGGAGAAGAGCCCAAGCGCGUGGGAGAGAGGGCGUGUGCGUGUGUGUGCGUGUGCGUGUGUGUGUGUGUGUGUGUGUGUGUGUGUGUGUGUGUGUGUGUGUACACAGACUCCGGGUCCAGAUUGCCCAAGCUACUCCAGCUGCAUUCAGGGACGGAAACUCCGGGAGAAAGGCAAAGGAGAGCGAGGGAGCGCGAGGAGGCAGGGAAGGCGGGAGGCAGGGGAGUGGAUGAGCUGCCAGGGCCGAGGCAGACGCUGGGAGAUUAGAGAGCUUUUCUCCGCUCUGUCACACCAGACACCCACCGCCACAGAGGGGGUUGCUGAGCCUCCCGCGAGAAGUACAUUGUAAAUCAUCAGCGCAACAAGCCCCUCAGUCACCCCUCUUGCCCACUCCUUAGCCCAACUGCGGCUCCCCAGAGGGACCACUGGAGUAUUUGGCUCUUAACCUGGAGAGCAGAGGAAGGUCUUGCUGGGGAAACGCGGCUGUGUCAGAUUUCACAUCAAGCUCGCCUGAGGAUUUGGAGGAUUGUAUGUAAAUUGAUAUAAAUUCUCCAAAGCCUGACUUCCUGUAUUACACUGUGUGAUGUGUCCAGGUGUACAGCACUAAACUAAUGUCUAGCAAUGAAGCAUUAGAGCCCUCGGGAAGUAAGGACCACGGAAAGGAGACAUAAUUCCCAUAGGAUGCGUUCUCUUUUUAGAUUGGGAAACUGAUUAAAAUAUAAUGCUUGUAGGGCCGAAAUUUAAAAAACACAAAACAGCAAAACUGAGAAAUACUGGGGAAAUGAGCCCCUAUAUCUUUAAACUUACUACAGCAGUAAACAAAUAUAUGCCAUGAUUGGUCAGUUUUUCAUUUCAUCCAGCCAUAAUUACUUUUUGUAGCUUUCCAGUGUUAUCAUGAAAACUGUUGGAACAGGAAUCAAUAAGAAGUGAUAGCAAGAAUCAUCAGAACAAGUUCAGGGACCUUUGGCUGGCUGAAGAGUCUUCUGAGUUUAUUGGAGUUUCAAAUUAUAGUGAAGAGUGUGUACAAGUAUAUGGAAUAUGCAACCCUCAGAAUUUGUGUGAAGAACUCUUAUUAGAACAAUAUUUAGAAAACUGCCUCCCCAAAGAUUAUAGCUAAAGAGAAGAGAUAGUCUCUAGUUUUUAACAAAACAAAGUGUUACUGACUUCAGUCAAAAAAUAAGUAGAUAAUAUGAAGAAAUUGAAGUAAUUCCUUUCUACAUGUUUCUUUGGUGUCUUUAAAUCCUGAUGGCAUUUAAAAAACAAUGCCCAUCAUUUUCCUUACAAAAAGAAUUGUUUAUUGCUACUGGCUUUGGAGUGCUGAAAAGGUUCAAUUAAAAAAUUGUGUUUGGCUUUAGAAGCAUGGCUGAGGAGAAAAACCAAAUGUACAUCAACCUAGUCUGAUAACCUUGGAAAACACAGCACUGUUUAAGGAAGUUCUUUUCCCUUUACUUCCAGAUUGGAUACAUGUUCAAUAUCAUACAUCAUAGAUGUCCAUUUGAAUCAUUUUUAAAUGCUGAUGAAUACAAGUGUCAGGUUGAAGAAAGUGAACCUCAGAGAGAUUAAGCAUCUGGUGCAGUCAUUUAAUUAGUAGAUGGCAGAGUUGGAAUUCAAAACCAAAGUGUUACUCCAUCACCUGUACACUUAAACAUUAUGCCAUACUGUUUCCUGAAAGGUAAGCCAAACAUAAACUAGCCAACUGCAUAAUUGAUAUUUGCCACAUAAAUUAUGAAAUCAGUACCAGGCACUAUAGGAAGAAUAUAGCACUGAACCAAGUCAUCUUGUUCACUUUCAUUGGAGCAGUGCCCAGCACAUGACACAUGCCAUCUGUUGUUAAAUGGAAUGAAUUAAUAAUAAUGUAGUAGGACCCUGGGAUGAGUAAUCAUUUUGUAAAGUAAUGAUAUAAAAAAGGGUAGCAUUAUUUAUCCUGGAUUGAAUAUCAAGUUGAAAGCAUGAACUCUAGUUUAUUUUCAUACUACAAAAUAAGCAGUUUACAUGAUUUAGAAAUAAUACUCCUUGAACGCAUCAAAACAUAUAUUAUAAAAAAUUAUACAUUAUAUUCAAUCUUAUUUGCUAACUCAAAAUUAUGAUUUUAAUGGUGUCUCAUCUUCAGAGGCACACUUCCAUAGAUACUAAUGUAAAGUCAUGUAAAGAUUAUACCAUUUUAUUUUCAACAUGUAUCUUCUAAUCCACAUAGUUCUUCUCUCUUCAAAGAAUUUAGUACCUCUUCUUUCUUUUAAUAAUAAAACGUACUAUUUAUCUCCUAACAACUUCCCUUACUACAGAUAAGACUCUUGUUUAAUAUAUAAGUGCUUAUCAAUAUAGCUUUUAACCAGGAAAUUACAGUAUUUUUUAAUUUUAGUAGAAAGUUACAUUGUAAAUGGGUUAAUAAAAAUUAGAAAUAUGGUCAAGUUUUUUUUCCUUUAGGUAAUGAAAUUUCAGUAAUAUUGAAGUCAUAUACCUGUAUGUGAGUUCUGAAAAAUAAUUUCGAACUACAGUGUGCAAUAAUAUAACCUAAUCUAUAAUAUAAAGGUUUGCUGAGUCCAUGUUCUGAUCAAAUGUGCAAUCAUUUGCAAAUGAAAAAUAUACUUUCUAUUAGAAAAUUUUGACAAGAUAUAUGUUCAUGAAUGUAUAUAUGACAUGCAGUAGUAAUGAAAUUAAAAUUUUUUUUCUCAGUACCAGGGAUUGAAUUCAGGACCUUGCACUUUGCCAGGCAGGCACAGCACCCCUAUCUGCAUCCCUGGCCUUUAAACUGCAUUAUUUUUAAAUCUCACUAAAUUCCUAAUUGAAAAUGAAGGAAAAAGAUGUAGCAUUUCUUUUUCAAGUUUUAGGCCUGUGCAUACAUACUGCAACUUCUUAGUCUGAACUGGUCCUUCUCUUUUCUUUGCUUAUAUACAGGGAUAUUAGCUAGAAAAAGACUUCCUUUCUCCCAUGCUGUGGCACUGUAGACAAGCAACCACUUCACCAGAAGAUAUUUGCCAUAAUUCUUCAACUGACCAUUCAGGACACCAGAACAAUUUUUCAGAGAUUGGAAAUAUUGGAGUCUACACAAAAAUCGAUGUUCAUUUACAGGAUAAUCACCAAACUUAUCUUGGAUAACAUAAGUGGCAAGCUCUGACUUCUAAUUUUUUUCAUAAGAAAAAUGUUUUCUUAACCCAGUGUCAUCAUUUGUACAAGACUGUCCCUUGAGAAUUGAUUCUGAGUGAUUUGAAACACUCCUUAAUCCUAUUUUAGAAAAAGCUCCUGUAUCUGAUUUAGUCUCGUAUGCAGCUUACUUCUAACAUCAGAUUGCAUUUGCAUUGAGUUACCUUACUCAGUUUAUUUUAAGAGUAUGCUGCAGCUAUAAGGGAAUAAGGAAAAAGUCAGAACAGUAUGUCAAAAUGUCUCUUUUAAUUGAAAAACAUGGGAAAUGUAUUAUAUGUUCUCUACCAUUCUGCCUGUAUUAGAGAUGCUAUAAUAAUAUUUUGUAUAGCCAGAAAAAAAGGAAUGGUUUCACCUGAACAUGUUGCUUUUAUUGCUAGGCUUUUUGUGUUAUGGUGGAGAAAUAAAUUUUAAGAUUGCAAUUAUGAAGGCAUUUCAGAACAAGUGGAAAUCAUAUAAUCUGGGCACUUUGAAUGGGUAAGUAGUCAUAUCUGAACCCCUCCUGCCCUAUUAAGAAUUGAAAGUUGUACCAUGUGUUAUGCAAAAAGUAAUUUUCCCUGGAUGUGCAAUAAGGGCUGAGAUCUGACCUAUAACCCAGAUGUCAUACACUAUGCAUUAUCUAUACUGGAGGCACAUGAGCAACAAUAUAAAAUUUUAAGUUUUUUAUAGACUUGCUAAAAUCCGAUUAUAGAAACCAGGACAGUCAAAUACUACCAAUAAUGCUACAAAAACCUUAGAGUUUAACUCCCUAGCCAUUUUGAACUUGAAUGAGACUUGUGCUUUUUCUCUGAAAGUAAUGUAUUGUACUUUCCAAUUUUAAAAAUGCAGUUGUUUAUUUUCACAUCCUUUAAUUUGAAUCUUUCCCUGAUAUUCUGACACAGAUUCUGUUUCUCACAAAUUUGGUUCAGGACCAAAUUAAAAGAUGAUUUAGAAUGGUAAUUUUUAAUCUGUAGUCCUCUGUGUAACCUUUGUAUGGCUAUCAUUGAACAGUCUUUAUUCUUGGAAUUUAACCCAGAAGGAGGAGAAGGAAGAGGAGAAGGAGGGACAGGUGGGGGAGGAGGAGAAGGAGGAAGAUGACACUACUGAGAAAGCUCUUUCUUGCCUGCGGACCACCAUUUCUCCUUCAUGCUUCAGCUUCAGCUUUAAUAGUGAAAGUGUGUCUUUCUUCAGUUAAAUUGAAUAGACUUCUAUUCAUAAUCUGCUAGAAAACCCCUUGGUCACAUGUGCAGUUGUUGGAAGUAUAAGGUCUACAACUUAUGCAAAUAAGUGAUACCACCUUUUAACCCACAACCUAACUCCAAUGAUGAAUUUUAUCCCCUUCUUGCUAAAUGUAAGGGUUUUAAAAAGAAGCUCCAAGAAGCAAAACACAUUUCAUCUUUACUCUGCUACAUAUUCCAAAUUAAGCAGAUUUUAAUUAACUGAAUUAUAUUAUAUACCAACAGCCUUUUCCUUUAAUGUCAAAAAGCUUUUAUGAUCUCUUUUCACUUCCUCUUAAAGUGAGACUGCACAAAAUAUUUUUUGACAUUUUCUGAGAGUUUCAUUUUCAGUUUUGAAGGAUCAUUUACUCCUUUCAUCUUCCAAUCCAGGAUAGUAAUGAAUAUUGAUUAGUUUUUCGAAGUGCUAACAUUCAACUAGGCAAACUUAUUAUGUGAUAGCUAUUAAUGUUCUCUUUUAUCUUCUAGACAGAAAAUCUAAGCUAUUUAAAAUAAAGGAUGUGUUUUAAAUCAAUGUUUGUCCACAUGCUAACAUUAAUGUUUACAAACACUUUCUGUGAUCAUUACAUCUUAUUCUGGUAUGUUUAUAUACAUGUCUUUUUGUUUAUAAAGAUACAGGUCCAAAUAGAUACGAACAAGGGGUAUAUGAGAUUCCAUCCAGUCUGAACAAAAGGGUUUGACUUGUCACUGUGCUAACCUACAGUGUAAUAAAAUGCACAAAUAGUUCCUUGUGCCACUACUUCAUUUUCAGUGCUUGAAAAGAUGGUCAUAUUAAACUGCUGAUAUGAUAAUCAUCCAAAUAUAUAAUUCUAAUGCUUGGAUUAUGGGAUCCUAUCUUUAUUUCUAUGAGAUUUUCCCAUAGUAGCUGUCUAUUUAAUGUUCAGCAUUCUAUAGCAGUUCUCUUUUAAAUGUUCAGAGCACAAGCUAUAUUUUCCAGGAUGUCCAAAUAAUCAGGUCUUAACAACAUUAUGAAAUAUAAGCCAUACUAUGAAUUGAACAGAAUGAGUCCUCAGAUCUGACUAUAUAAGACUCAAAAUGUUGAGGCUCCUGAAUGAAAUUGUAUUAGGAGAAUAAAGAGAAUAAACUGCAAUCUGGACCACA